AGGUCAGAGGUGUAAAGAUAGUAAUAUCAAAGCUAACUGAUACUAAUAAAUCGAAAACUUGAC
rnacentral:rRNA from 1 species